AAUCCAUGAUGUGGACAUAUAUUCACCAGGUCCUUGAAUCUCUCCUAGGAAUCCUAGAAAGUCUCGUCACCCUUUUGCAUGAAUCGACUAAUCUGUUCCUGCAAAAAU